GGUGUCCGCACCGGGCCCUCCUCAGGCUGCGGGGGUGUGGGGAAGGUGUGUGCGAGUGGACGUCACUGGUGCGUGGGGGGGGGUCCCGGGUUAUGGAGAGUCUGGGGCCUUCCCGGGGGCGCGGAGCGGGCUCUCUGGCCGAGGGGUGCAGCAGAUGCUGUUGCUUUGGGCACAGCCCCUGCCCACAGCCGACUGCCCACCACAAGGCCGCGGCUCUGUCCCCGAGGGUCCAGGACGCCGGGAGGCAGUGCUCUGGGACCAGCUCUCAGCAGCCAGGCCCGAGUCAGACCUGGAGGCCGCAUCCUCGCCCUCGGGCCCUGCCGAGCUGGGCUCUGCCUGUCCCGAGGGCCCCGAGGGUGUGGGCCCAGCCACCUGCAGGUACCCCGUGCGGCCCAACUGGUUCCCUGUCUUGCCCGUCUCACCUGCCCGCUCCCCGCCUGUGCUUCCCUCCUCCUCCCUGGAUGGGCCCCGUCCCGUGCCAGCCUCUGCUCCCAGGGAGCCCGACUAAGACGGGGCCUCGGGAGCCCCCUUGUCCCGCAGCCGUUUACCUAUGGUGGUGAUGACCGUGCCUGCAAAGAAGAAGCUGCUGCUGAAGUCCCAGUUGCUGGGGUUGGUGGAGUUGCCUUUGGGGUUCACGCCUUUCACCCAGGCUUCCAAGAUGACCUGUGGGUAGCAGUGACCUGCAGCCCUGGCGGACUCUCCACCUCCCAUGCCUCAGUUCCCACCUGCAGGCUGAGGAAGGUGACGGGAACAGGUGACAGCACCUGGUGCAGGUUCUGAUGCUCCGAGCCCUGCUCCUCACUGCUUGGGCACAUUGGAGGGAGGCCGAAGGAACCCGGCAGGAGAGCCUGCCGUGGGCACAGAGCAACAGGGCUUUGGUCACCUGGGCCACUGCCCACAGCCCAGCUCCAGGGGAGCGAGGCCAGCAUGGUGGCUGCUCCUGACUUUGGCCGUGUCCCCUGGGGACACACGCAGGCAGGAGGGGCCGCAGCCUGGAGCUGGGGUCAGGAGGUGCCGGGGACGAAGCGUGGAGAGCGUUGCCAGUGCGGACACUCAGCCGUGUCUGCGCUGCCUGUGACAGCAAGGGGCGCCUGGAACCGGCUGCCAAGUGUCUGGGGCCGCCACCCCACAGACAGGGACACCUGGGUCCAGCGAGGCUCAGGGACUUGCUCAAGGCCCCACAGUGAUCCAGGUGCAGACCUGGGCAGAAUCCAGGACCGGGUGUCACUGGGCCCUGUCCCCACCACACGCUGCUCCCACAGGUCCCCAGCCCUCGGGGUCCCAGCUCUGCGCCUGCCUGGAGCUCCUGGUCUCCAAGUCCCCACACCCCAUCCCUGCCACCCACCUGCUCCCCUCACCUGCACAAACCGCUCCAGGGCCCGCCGGUCCAGGCACGUGUAG
rnacentral:lncRNA from 1 species